GUGGGGAAUCUUAGACAAUGGGGGCAACCCUGAUCUAGCCAUGCUGCGUGAGUGAUGAAGGCCUUAGGGUCGUAAAGCUCUUUCGCUGGGGAAGAUAAUGACGGUACCCAGUAAAGAAACCCCGGCUAACUCCGUGCCAGCAGCCGCGGUAAUACGGAGGGGGUUAGCGUUGUUCGGAAUUACUGGGCGUAAAGCGCGCGUAGGCGGAUUGGAAAGUUGGGGGUGAAAUCCCGGGGCUCAACCCUGGAAUGGCCUUCAAAACUCCCAGUCUUGAGGUCGAGAGAGGUGAGUGGAAUUCCGAGUGUAGAGGUGAAAUUCGUAGAUAUUCGGAGGAACACCAGUGGCGAAGGCGGCUCACUGGCUCGAUACUGACGCUGAGGUGCGAAAGCGUGGGGAGCAAACAGGAUUAGAAACCCCAGUAGUCC
rnacentral:rRNA from 1 species